rnacentral:lncRNA from 1 species
UUUGAGGUAGGUUUCUUGAUAUAAAUCUAGACCAGUUCGUCAGAUUAUGUUUCAGGAAGUCAUAGGCAUGGUGUCUUUGGGGUGGCAGGAAAGCAAUGCUACAGUCUAGUGGCUGCAUCUCUAUUAGGAAAAGGGAGGAAGGCACUGCGUUGGAAUGUUUUCCCUAGCGAUUGACAUGAUUAUUUUUUCCAAUUUUUUCUAUGAAAUUAUCGCACUGAUGAAUUAUAAAAGAAUUAAAAAAUAGAGCUUCAUGGAAGUGCAGUAUAAUAUAAAAACGUCCGUAGUGCAGGAGAAUUCUGAAAGCUUCUGACGCGGAAAGUUUGAGUAAAUUUUCAAAGUUUUUUUGCCGGGAUCAUAUAUUCUGCCUUGAAUCAGGUAAUUUUUCUGGAACUUGUUAACUUAUAAAUUAACUCCCGCUAUUUAUUUGGUCCAAUUGAUUUUUUUUCUAUUUUUGGAAAAAUAGCACACUCUUAGUAUCAUAUAUCUACCUGCAUUCAAAAGUUUGGAUUAUAAUUAGAAAAAUCUGUCGGACCAUCAUUCUUUAUUUUUAUUUUUGCAUAUAUAGGUAAUUAGAAAAUUUGGCGUUCUUUUUUUGGUAUAAAAAAAUGGCAUUCAUAUAGUUCUCACAUAAGUACAGUCUACCAAGUUAAAAGAAAUAAAGUGAUACAAAGGGUAGGGUAUAUCUGCGACCCUGGUCUAAAUGAGCCCGCUGAAUGCCGGGCCACAAAGGAUGCGACUCAGUCUACCGCACUAUUCGCUUUCCGAUGCACAUAUGCUAUUUGGAAAGAGUCGGUCUCCCUGGCCAAACCACGGAUCUCGCGAAGCAGCGGGUGCCCCUCUCCAUCCGGAACCACACCCCAUAUCCCUGUCAACCACCGUAACAGAAUCCCCCUCUAGGAAUAUCCUGUCGGCUCGAAGGGCCCUCCUCGCAUAGGACAUACCCUCCCAAGCAACCUGCAGCUCCACCUCAAUGAUGUCCCGACCGGUGGUGCAUCUCCCUCCAGCUGCAAUCAGCCUAUCCAGAUGAUCUCUAAUCACAAAGCCCAUUCCUCCGUGUGUUCCAUCCACCGACCAGCUACCAUCGAAGCUCAAUUCGAGAUGACCAAGGGGUGGGGGUACCCAAGAGAAGAAGGUAAAUAUGCGCACUGUGACAGCAGAGCGGGUAUCCCAAAUGUCCCUGGUCAUCCUAGAAGUGAACACCAUAGUAGUCAUGAUGAUCUCCCUCGGAUGGCGGAAGGCCCUGCCCACCACUGUACUAGGCGAUGAUCCCUGGCCCUUAAACAUGCGGGCAUUUCUGUCUAACCAGAUGUGAUAAGCCAUGUAUGCCCUUAUGAUCCCCACCUCGACUAUAUCAGGUCUCCUCACGGACUCUCUCAGAUGGUGUAGCAAAUCCUCUGCUGACUCCAAAGCCUGGUGGAAAGGAACAAAGGAAUUCUCCCAAAUCUGCACUGUCCUGGGGCACACCAAGAUAGCGUGGCUGAUGGUCUCCUCAAUAUCUGGGCACACGUCACAGUACGGGGGAUCUGAACACCUCGUCCAACUAACAUCCUCCUAGUUGGUAAGCAACCCUAUGCCAACUUUCAGAUGAAGAGAGCAACACGAGGGUGUAUCAGCAUCCUCCAUAUCCAACCACCAUCCAUCUGUCGAUCCGGCUCCUCGGUCAUCAAAGCCUGAAUGUCCUUGGCCUACACCCUCGAUCUUCCAGUCGACAUCCAUACCAAUCUGUCAGCCUCCCUCUGUGACGGAAGGGGUAGGGCUAGAAUCCUCUCUACUAGCUGAUCCCCAAAAGCCUCCUGGAUCAGCCCCGCCCCAUCCACUCUCCCCAGGUUCGAUCAGAUCACUGACCCUAUGCUCUACUAGCCUGGCCGUGUCCAAGAAGGCCGGCAGUCUGCAUAAUAGCCACUUAGUCACCCAACUAUCCUCCAGGAUGUCGAUAGCCUGCCUAUCACCAAUCGCCCAUUUGAUUCCCGAAAGCACCACCAGGGCUCUGGCACACAUCUCCCUCCAAAUCGGAGACCAAUGAUGCUGAGCUCUAGUGGGCCUUGCCAGCGGCGAAACCCCAUACUUGGCCCUCAUCAAAGAUGCCCACAUACUGUCAGGCUCCAGAACAAACCUAGCUGCAUACCUCACCACUAGGACCUCUCGUCGCAUCACUAGUGAAGGUACUCCCAGUCCGCCAACCCUAGUUAGCUGACAUAAUACCUCCCAGGCUAUCAGGUAUAUGCCCCCUCUGCCUUCGCUCCUCCCUCAUAUGAAAUCUUUGAAUAUUCGCUCCAUGUUCCUCAGCGGUCUCAUAGGAGUGACUAAGUUGGAUAGCAAGUAGACCGGAAUCGAACUGGGCAUUGACCUCACUAGCGUGAUCCUACCCAUCAUGGAUAGGGCAUGCAUCUGCCACUCCUCAAGUUUGCGCUGAUGCUGAGUUCCAUGUAGGAGCAAUCCGAACUGCAAAGACGCUGCCCUAGGAUCAAGACGCCCAAGUAUCUCAACACACCUUCCUGCUCUCCAAUCCCCAAAAUGUCCAUGAUGUCUGCCUUCACCUAUGACUUGGUCCUUGGGCUAAAGCACACCACUAAUUUAGUCAAGCUUACUUGUUGCCCAGAUGCACCAUAGUAGUCCCAUAAAAUCCUCCUGAUCGUCCGUGCAGCCUACCUCGUCGCCCUAGCUAGCAGCAAGUAGUCAUCAACAAACAACAAAUGAGAGAUGGGAGGGGCAUCCUGCACUGGCCUGUAGACCUCCAAUACCUGAGAAUCCACUGCAUGGCGAAGGGCCCUGGAGAGCACAUCUGCACAAAUGAUAAAAAAGCAGUGGGGACAAGGGGCAAUCCUGGCGAAGCCCGCCCGAAGACUCAAAGAAGAUCGAUGGCGUAUCGUUCACCAAGAUUGAGAAGGAGGGGGUCUUGACGUAUUCCAUCACCCAUCUGAUCCAGAUCUUGUGGAAUUCGAAACCCUCCAGUGCUAUGAGGAAACUCCAACUCAUUCUAUCGUAAGCUAUCUCCAUGUCAAGCUUGAUCCCCAUCAAACUCCUCCUGAUCGGAGCCCUCCUGAGAUCAAACAUGAACUCCUGCAUAUAAGCACAUUAUCCAAUAUGCUUCGCCCACCCACAAAGGAUCCCUGCUCUGGGCUGAUGAUCCUCAAUAGAAUGCCUCUCAAUCAGGCUACCAUGAUCUUCGUCGUAACCUUGUACAAAGUGGUAUAUAGACUAAUCGACCUAAAAUAUCCCAGCUCUGUAGUAUCUUGCCGCUUCGGAAUCAGUAUGACGAAGGUUCUCUUCUAGUCCGAAGACAUCACUCUUGUGCUAAAAAACUGCUGAAUAGCCUCCGUCACAUCCUGCCUAACAAACAUCCAGUACCUCCGAAAAAACAUCGGUGGAAAGCCAUCCGGCCCCGAUGCCUUGUCCUCCUCAAGCGUCCUUUGCGGCUCACCACUCUGAAGGCUUCAUUUGGGCAGAUCAUGGGCCGUGUCAUAUUCGCUAUGUAGCAUUUUACUUUUUGAUUUUGUUAGCCGCAUUCACAUCCGUGGUAUGUGAAUCACCGUUGUACUAAAAAAAUAAUUAUUAUUUUAAAAAUUAAAUCUGCAAAAGCAUUAUACUUCAUUUAUAUAAGUCCAUGCAAUUAUUAUUUUUUAGAAAUUACUGUGUGGUUAAAAAAUUUUAAACGUUAUUGGGGUGAGAGAGGCUCGAACUCUCGACCUCAGGAUCACUCAACAGCUAUGAGACCUACGCGCUAGCCAACUGCGCCACCACCCCUUUGAGUGCUACUUCAGGAUUAUAAAUAGGAAGAAUCCAUUCCUAAACGCAAUACAGCCCAGCGCAAUCUAGUCCUCGCACGAACCUUUAAGAAGAGUAGGCAAUGCUAACGUCAUUUAGAAUUGAACCCCACCCUUUCUACCUGGCUGUACGAAACAAGCCAAGAUUCAGUAGUAAUUGGGCACCACCAUCCGAUGAUGCACCGGAGGAUAGAGGCAAACUUCAUACAGAUGAUAAUUGUUAGUACUAAAGGGCCCAUGCACCGUCCUAGGGACUCAGGGAUGACCGUGUUGUUGUGCUAUAGACGUACGUGAAAGUAGCUAUUUUUUUUUGGGUGGCUGAUGGGGAACCAGUGUAGCGCAAUCUUGGUCCCCAUGCAAACUUUUGAGAAUGUUGAUCUGGAAAAAGAACGGGUAGGAAAGAUUUGACAUGAAGGUUUUCACAAAAAUAUACUGAUAGAUUAAAGAUAAUACAAUUUUGCUCUAUUUCCCUGCUCGUGAAAAGAAGGAUUCAUAUAUAUAUAAUGAGAUCAAAGCAAGGCUGACGCCCUCCAGGAUCGAACUCACCCUUUCUACUCGGCCAUAUGAUUCGAUCCAAGAUUUGGUGGUAAUUGGCUAAAUUCUUUACCAUGCAACAAUAUUGUGAUUGGCUUAAUUUGCACAUGAAUGCCGAAGCUCAAGCCUAUUCUUUUGCUUUUCCAUUUUUUUCAAGGUAACUGGAAGGAAAAAGCGCAAGAACUUUGAUAUCCAUGAUGACAAGGAUAGUAAUCAAUUACUAAAUAUUCUGUUGCAAGAUCCUGGACCCCCUUCUUCAAUCCGAGAAAUACAUGGGUGGGCAUGGGAAAAUUCCAGAGAUCACUAGCCCAAAGUCAUUUCACUUCCUUCGAGGUCAUGCUAUAUAGAUGGGCAUCACUUUUGGAAACAAGUUUCUUGUGAACAAGACUCCAUCGUUUCCACGUCUCAGUGUUUCCAACAUUAUUCCAAAGUCAGGUUCCAUGAGAUUAGCUGCUCACUAGGCAAAAAUCAUAUUCCAAAUUCCUUAUAACAAAGAAUUAAGUGACUAUUCACAUUGUUGCCGCAUAAGCAUACUGCUCAAUCACAUUAUUUGAAUCGAUGGGAAAUCGUUUCGGUUCUUUUUCCACAUAGCACACAUUCAUUCUUUCUUAGCAAGAAUCUUUUCUGUGUGCAGUCGAUUCUUGAGCGCAAUUCAUAUAAAAAUACUCACUUUUUUUGGUAAAGCCGCCUUCCACAGGCUCUUAUAAAAAUAACAGCGAAGAUUGUCAUUAUUAAACAAAUUAUAGAAAGAGUUCACUGUAAAACAAUCUCCUUAUGAGAGUUUUCACAUUGGGACAUCACCAAUUCGAGAUGGUCUUAUAUAAGAGAGAGCUUUUUUUAAGAUAUAUAAUUGAUCCAUCUGUUGUCUUGCAAGAAGUUUUUUUUUUUACUUUCUAAGAAAGUAUUUUUCAUGACUACUACAAAGCAACCAUGCGGACCUACCUCACUACAUUGCCGGCCUUUCAUUAUAUAUGUGGGCCGUCUGAUGUAGGUUCACUCUUGCGGUGCAUUGUUGGUGGGGUAUAACUUUCUAUUUAAGUAGAGCUUGUCGUAGGUUGUUUCACCUGUCUCAAGCCUGAACUAUAUUAAUAGUUAGCCGAGCUCCGAGCCAAAUCUAUUUAAACUUUAAUAUUUUAUGUACCUAAGUCCGACCGAUGAUCAGCUCGCUGUCAUCGGAGGGUCAAUUCGGGACGAGAGUUCCGGCGGCGCCUGCACGUUUGAAUAUUCUGCCAGGCUUUUAGGCUCUCUCCAGUCUCCACGCCAAACAGACCCCCGCUCUUUCCUCUCUUCUUCGUUUUGUUCGUCGUCCAUUCUUGCGGGUUGACAUCCCUCUGUUUCACGCGACGACCAAUGGAGGAACCCGAGAGGAACCCUACGGGGAAGAGCACAGAGAUGACCGUGAUCCGGUCCACUAACCAUUCGACAGCCCACGCGCUAACGGCCAUGCUCAUUUGGCUCAGCUCCAUCCAUCUUAACAUUCUCCUCUUCCUCCUGCUCGUCAUCUUCUGCCGCACCACCAUUGUUUUCUUGUGAGCUCCAAUGCCUUCCAUCUUCUUUUCUUCUUCUUCUUCUUCUUCUUCUUCUUUUUAUAUGUAUAUUAAUGUGAGCUCCAAUGCCUUUCAUCUUCUUUUCCUCUUCUUUUUCUCUUUUUUUUUUAUAUUAAUGUGAGCUUCAUUGCCUUUCAUCUUCUUUUCUUCUUCUUUUUAUAUUAGUGUGAGCUCCAAUGCCUUUCAUAUUAUUUUCUUCUUGUCUUCCCCCUUUUUCUUAUAUCAAUGCUGUUUUUAUUUGUUUCAUAUUAGUUAAAAUCGGGGAAGAAAUUGAAAUUUUCUCUAUUUAAUUAAGGAUACUAGGGUUGAUUGUCCUGUUAUUGAUAGUUCCUGUGGACGAUAACAGCAAGCUCGGGCAAGCUUAUGCGAGGUGAUCUCUCCUUUCUUUCUUUUCUUUCAAAUUUGUUUUCUUGUUGCAUUAGAGAUACUAAUAUUAUGUGAGGUCGAACGUUUUAAAAAUAAUAAUAAUAUUUUUUUGGUAGCAGGUAUGUUGGCAAGUAUGCACCCGGCUACUUCCCUGUUACGGUUCAUAUGGAGGACGCCAGGGCAUUUGAUCAGAACAAGGCAUAUGGUGAAGUUGAUUAUUUUUUCCAAAUUGCAGAAGCUAUACGUUUAUUUGCAUAUACUUUGCAUCAGGGGAGAGGAAGAGGAAAAAAAAAGAUAACGUUUUAUGGUGUAUCAUUUUGGAUUUUUACAGCAUGCUUUUAUUUACCCCUAUAAUACGAUGAUUUCUAUCUAGCUGCUUUAUGUAAUUGAAAUUUACAUUAAAUAAGAACUUUAGGAUUCCGUAGUUUACAUGCCUAUAAAUUAUUUUGGCAGCAAGAUUUUAUGUAAAACUAGAAUUUAUAAAAUAUAAUUAUAUUAUUACAUAGGAAAUCAGAUGAUGUUAGGUCAUAUCCAAGUUGGUUUCUCGCAUCAAAGAGCUCUCAUAAUGAAAGAGUGAUGCUGUCAUAAUUUUGGUAUUGUGCUCUCUAUAAUGUAGUCCUUGCUGCUGAGCCACACUCAGUAUUUCCCAUCGGAUGUCUAUCUCUUUUGAGCUUUACUGGAUUGAUGCCUCUGUCUAAGACUAAAGCUCUUGCGAGCACUGCUGUAAGUUUUCAUGCUGCAGUUCCUUGCUUUCAUUUCUGUUCUUCUAUGUUCUUCUUGGAACGUUGUAAAAUCCAAAGCAAGUGGUGGCAAAAUUGAAGCUUUGCAUGUUCUGGAAAAUAGCUUAAUAUUUUGUUCAGAUGUUCUGUACGCCCUUCCUCAGGCAAAUGUCAACAUGGAUGGGACUCGUCCCUGCUACAAAGAAGAACUUCAUCAGGUACCUGGAAGCUGGUUAUAGCUGCAUAAUCAUUCCAGGAGGAGUCCAAGAAAUCAUUUAUAUGAACCAUAAUUAUGAGGUCUGUGGAAUUCCAGGCCACGGGCUAUCGACUUAGCUCAAAUUUAUUACUCUAUGUGCCCAAAGGCAGAAUUUUUGCAUUGUUUUCUCAAAUGAACUGAAUGAGUUAUGCACACCGAAGAUAAAUUAGCAUGCGGCAUGUUAUUAACAGGUUGCGUUUCUGAAACGAAGGCGCGGCUUUGUACAAGUUGCUAUUGAAACAGGCUCUCCUUUAGUCCCUGUCUUCUGCUUUGGUCAGGUUAGAUGGAUUUCAUUGUUUUGCUCUUUAUUUCCAUACAAUAUCUAGCAUUCAUUUGAUCCAUAUUGCUUUAUCUUGAAAUUCGUUCUUUGCAGACUAACGUGUAUAAAUGGUGGAAACCUCAAGGGAAAUUUUAUAUUCAUGUUGCUAGAGCAAUCCGUUUUGCACCGUUAAUAUUUUGGGGAGCCUUUGGGUAUAUCUCUAACUGAAUUAUAUGCAUUUAAACAAUAGAAGUUGCAGGAUAUGCUUUUGAUUUCGAAAAGAAUUGCUUGUUGAUUGACUUCUUGGAACAUAUCUUUUAUUCUACUUAAAUGUUACAUGAACCAAAGUUCAUUAUUAAUUUCCUUAUCAGGUUAUCAGUUUCCACACAUGAACUUGCAAUAAUCCUUUUAUCUGUUAUCUCUCAUCAGUUUCUUCUUGCUCUCUCUCUCUCUCUCUCUCUCUGUGUGUGUGUGUCUCUGGCGCGUAUUCUAUUUUUUCUAUGCCUUAAUCUGUGCUUUUGUCUUUGUAUAAUGGCUGAGAUUGCCAAGUCAUUUCUUUCAUUGGAUUUUUCAUGGGCAGCUUGAUUUAUUUUAAACCAGUUUUACCUCUGGAUCUGGAGAUCCAUUUCUCCUUGUAUUGGUAAUGGGUUUCCUCUCUCAAGAACUCUUACCUUGCUUUAGUUUAAGUCAGAAUCUGGCAGAUGUCCACUUUUCACUCAAAAAGUUUGUGCUUUUGCGAGUUUAUAUCACGUGGAGGUGCCUUUUCAAUUUCUCUGGUUCCUAUAUUCUUUCUAUGGCCACCUGUCUUCAUCCUUGCAUUUUGAGUGUAUCUAUCUUCUCAAAUUCAUUUUAGACGCUCCUUGAUGUCUAUUUGAUGUUUGGGUGUUGCUUUCUCUAUUGGUUCAUUGUUUUGACCUCAUGAUAACCAUCAUCACUGCAAACAUCAAAUGCACCUACCUUCCUUUCCUAAGUAUUCAUAUCACUAGUGCAAGCAUUAGGUUUGGUUCGUCUUUAAUUUCCACUUGUCUCAAAUGACCAAAGACCAUUAGUUUCACAACACUGGACAUGGCUCCUAUGGUCUCUAAGCCCUAAUUUUCCUUCAUUUUUCUAAUCCAAUGUGGAGUUAGAUGGGCCAAAGAAUCAUGAAAAUCUAAGUACACAUGUUCAUGCUUCUAAUAAUCCUUAGAUGUUAAAUGUCGUACUUGUGAAAGGAAGACCUACCUCUCUUGGCCAUCACAUGGAGGAACUUCAGGCUGCAAAGCCAGGGCCAUCAGCCUUCACAACAGAGUAUGUAAUGAUCCCCAACAUGGUAUCAUCAAUUGUAGUACUUAAUGUGCAUGCAUCCAUAAUUUGACCCUAUCCUAGGCCAUCUUCUUUAUCUUGUCUAUAUUUUGAGACUAUCCUAUUACAGAUAGUUGCUGAUCUCACCUACCAAUGCAAUUGGACUGGUUUUUGUAUGACUAUAACCAAAACAGACCUGUCCUAUAGCUGCUCUUGCUCUGCUCAAGGUUCUCAUGAUUCCACAUUGUUCUGAUCCCAUUGCUGUGUUCCACCCAGUCAAUGCCAUCUCAGUUGUUUGUUAGUUUCAUUCAAAGAUCUAUAUGCAGUCAUCUCCUUGCCCUUGCUCCUUUUGGCGUUUUUGCUGUGAUUACCAAGGCCGUCUCAAUGGUGUGUAUGAAUACCUAAAUAUAAUGUCUGUCUUGUGCUGUGCCAUCUAUGGAAGUAAAGAAGUCCCUCAUGUCUGUUUCUAGUAUUUCCAUAUUGCAUUCUUUCUGUUAAAUAUAGCUUCAGAUAAUUAUCUCUUGAAAAAAUUCAGACAUUUAUCACAAUUAGAACCUCAUUCCUAACUACUCCUCCAUCAAUAUCACCAUGUAAUUAAUAUAUCUAGGUGAUCGAUUCAGUCUUCAUGAUGUCGCCCUUGUUACCCAUCCAAAGCAAACCUCUAGCAUUCCUUGACAUUAAGGACCUUGGAAUCUUCACCAUGUCCUUUGUUCUUAUUCUUGCUUGUUUCUCAAGAUACAUGUUGCAAGGAAAAAUAAAACCAACUUGAUUAAAUGUGACUGUCGAGCUGAUAAAAGCAAUCUGAUGGAGAAUUUAAAUAAAAGCUUUUUUCUUAGUGAUGGUAAGUUACUUCAGUUUUAUCCCUUUUUUGGCUAGUUACUCCAGUUUUAUCAGUGUCAUUACUUUAUGGUAGUAUUUUAAGCAACUCCUAGCCCAAUAUCACAGAAAUUGUUGAUUUGCUGAGUUAGCUUGCCAUGUCAUUCAUUUAAUUCCUAUGUGGCCCUAUUUCAUGAUUUUGAAUACCUUUGUCGGACCAGCACUCUCCUCUUCUCUUUUACCCUCCUCUUGUGAUUAUGAGCUCACACUAAUGCUAGUCUUGUUGGAAAUCCUACUAAUUAAUGCUUUAGUAUGGGAUCUUUUAUCUCCCUUGGAUAUUGGCAUAUUUAUGCUUUCACUUCCUGAGGUCCAUUCUAUUAAGUGAUUUGUGGACUGUGAUUUGUAUUACACAAACUCAUGGUCCACAUCCAGCGAUGGUUCAGGAGCAAGGUGCAGAUGUAUUGGACUUUUUUGUUGGGAAUUUUAAACAUAAAGAUGAGACUGCAAGCAUGCCAGUUGUAUCUUUUAAAGGAUGUUAAUUGAGGGACUACAUGAUAGAUUCAAGUGAGAAGAACAAGAGAAGCCAAGCAUCUGGAAAUGUGCAAUACUCUUUAAGAUAUGGCUCAUGGUAGAUAUAAACAUACAAGGAAUAUGGUUACCAUCGUGAGAAUACCAUAAGACCGUAAGAAGGAGAUAUACAAUACACAGACUGCAUAUGUACACUCUAACACCUCCCUCAAACUCACGGUGGAUCAUAGUUUGAGAGUUUGCUAAGAAGGAUAGAGAAUCUUGGCAUGGUAUGUGACUUCGCAAAGAAGUCCUCAAUCUGCUGUUUAGAAAAGACAUAUGAUAGAGACUAGAGAGAGUGUCCCAGCAAUGUAAUGAUGUCGAGCGAAAUGGUAACCAAUUUCAAUAUACUUGGUAUGCUCAUGAAACACCGGACUGGCAGCUAUCUAAACAGCACUUUGAUUGUCAUAAUAAAGAAGGGUAGGUAGGCAUGUCAAUGAUAAACCCCAUAUCAGCAAGCAAGCAUUUUUGCAACUAAACAACCUCUGCAGUGAUGCCAACCAUGGCUCGAUACUCUGUAGCGACACUCGAGCGAGAGACGGUGUCCUAUUUCUUAGCCUUCUAAAUUAUAAAUCUCUAAGGAAGAGACAGUAGCUAGUAAGGGAGUGAGGAUUAGUAAAAUCACUAGCCAAAUCAGUAUCAGAAUAUGUCCAAAAUUGAAGCAAAGAAGAGAGGGAAGAAAUACGCUCCAAGGAAUAAAAAUUCGGUUAAGCUCUUCUGGCUGAAUCCAACUCUGGGCCUGCCCUUUUGCUAGCUUUUUCAUUAUGCUGGUUCAACUACUGCUUAUGCUGGAAAUCUCUCCAUCUUAGCAAAUUCAUUCCUCGGUGCCAUGCAAAUAGGGAGUAAUGUGAAGUACUGUAGAAUAGGGAACCGUUCGUGGAGUGACUACUAAUUGACUGACCAUAUGGACAAUAUAAGCAAUAUCUAGUCAAGAAAUAGUUAGAAUGAACUCCCAAUAAGCUAAAGAUAGCGAGUAGGAUCAAGCAAGGGGUUCACCAUCAUCUGGACGAAGCUCCAACUGAAGCUCAAUAGAGGUAGGCUAGGUCCAAGAGUCUCAAGCGAGCGCAAGCAAUAAUAUCCUCAUUGUGCUUUCUCUGAGAGAACAGAUAAUCUUGAGGACUAUAUUCAACCUUUAGCCCCAGAAAAUAAAUAGCAAAGAGAAUCAAGAUCUUUCAUUUCAGUGUUGUUGAAGAAACUCCUUGACAUACUAGAUAAACUAAAGUGUUUGCUCUAGUAACAAACAUAUCAUCUACAAAGGUCCAGCCAUGGAAGGAGGAAUGGACAAACGUGGAGUAAUCAUUUGAACUUUGUACAUUUUACAAAACCAAAUGAGAUGAUCGCCUGGCUUAGCUUCUCAAACCAGGCCCCUGCCUGAGUCCAUACACAGAUCGUGGAAGAUGAGAAACAUGUCGAGGAGGAUGUGAAAGCCCAGGAAGAGGAAGUAUGUAUACCUCCUAAUGAAGAUCACCAUGAAGACAAGCAUUCUUUAUGUCUAGCUGAUACCGACAAAGUACAGCAAUUGCAAUCAGUAGUGAUCUUGGUGAUAGGAGCAAAAUUCUCCUUGUAGUCAACUCCAUGCUUUCUAAGUAAAGCCACGAGCCACUAAUCAAGCCUUGUAUCACUUUAUGGAACCAUGUGAAUGAGUUUUCAUGUAAUAGAUCCACUUGCAAGAGAUAGGAUCUUUCCUAGGUGGGAGAGGAACAGGACAUGUUUAUGCACACGCAGGGGCAGCCAACUCAACCAUAGCCUGCUUCUAUGGAGGAAGUUGAAUAGGCUCCUAGUAUUUUUGUGCCCCAUGAUAACUAUGUAUGGCUGCUAAAAAAACACUGAAAACCGAGCAAGUAAGUGUCUAUAGUUGUAGAAUGAUAAUCUCGAAGAUACUUUGGCACAUGAUGGUUGUGAGAGGGAUCAAAACACUCAGAAAAGAGGAGCAGGAUCAUCCACUGUAGAGGGGAUGGCAGGGUAUGCACACUCUAUUAGAUGUACAUAUGUAGGCAUGGACAUAUAGCAGGAUCAUCAACCAUAGAGGGGAUGGCAGGGUAUGCUCACAAGAGAUAGACUGCAUGAGUACACUCAAAAACUGCCCACACACAUUCAAAUGCAUUUGAAGCACAUCUGCACUUGUAUGUAUUCAGACAAAAACGUAUUUGCAAGUUUAUCUUUUCUUGUGUGGUCAUGUAUACAUCUAUUUUUGUGUAGGAGUGCCAUAGUUUCAAUAGAAAAGAAUUUUGAAUAUCAAAAUAAAUGCCAGACACUCUGUUACUUCUUCACUUUAUAUUGUUUAGGUAAAUCCACUGAUGUAUGUAUAAUUUAUUAUUAAUUUAUUAUUAGUUGGACCUGCAGCCUCAAAGCUCAAUAUAGUCAAGAAAGCCCUUACAUGAUAUAGUAUUGAACUUGAUGCCUACUGCUGUAAGUUCCAUCCUCAUGUAAAAAUAUGACAUGGGUAGGAUUUGAUCAUACUUGAAGAGCCAAUGAAUUUCAUGAACUAUCAUUCAGUGCCCAAAAAGCCUUGUAGGAAUGUCAUACAUCACAAACAUGGAGCUCUAUGCAAUAUAAUAUAAAGCAUAUUUAUGGAUUACUGAAAAAUAUUUCUUAUUUGUAUAAAGCUGGCAAUAAGCAGCGAUGUACAUAUAUUUUCUAUGAAGCAUAUUCUGUGAGCUGAAAAAGUACCUGAUUUGCUAUAAAAUACUUCCUAAAAUUUUGAUCUUAUUUUUUAUUUUUUAAUUUUUGUGUUGCAUUUGAAUAUGUUUCUUGGUCCAAGGGCUUAAAGAUGAGACUCUGUUUGUUUUCUCCUGAAUAGGAGAAGGUUAUAAGAAAUCUAACUUGCUGGUAUCUUUGUGCCUGUACAGAUCACCAAUCCCAUAUCGCAAGCCAAUAGACAUUAUAGUCGGAAGACCAAUUGAGAUCAGGCAAAAUUUGAACCCCUCAAGAGAAGAGGUAAAUUUUUGAAUGAUUUAAGUUCUGAUUUUCUAAAUAUCUGUAUAUGAAAAUUUGGAAGGUAUACAGCUAACCCAGCUAGUUUGGGUGACCAGAAAAAUUGAAUAUAUAUUAUAUUUUUGGACUCUAUGAACAAAUUAUUCUGUCAAGUUGGCAUGCUGUGAACCACAAGUACUGGAGUAUAAAAUUUAUCAGCUGGAUCUUUGGCAGGAUAAGCUAAGAACUGGCCAUAUUUUAGUACUUUGUUUACAUUCUGACCUUUGCAUGGUAGGCAUGACUUAACAUUCUGUUGGACAAAAUGUCGGUUUGAUUGUUAUUAAUGCGCUAAAAUAUAGUAGUUUGUUGAAGCAACUGAUUAUAACUUCUAAUAUUAUGAAGCAGCUCAGAUUUGCAAGCCUAUGCAUCAUCAUCAGUUUGUGGUGAGCACUAGCAAGAUCAAUCUGAACAUGUUUUUAUGGUAUUUAGAAACUUCUGCCCAGUUUUACUGCCCCUACUUAAUAAGGAGGAUUAGAAAGAACUAAUAGAUUCAAAGGGGUCACAUGGCUGUGUACCACUAUUUUUAUUCAUCGAGAAAUUUAUAUCAAAUUUAUUUUGAAAAAAGUAUUAGUUGGAUUACACACUUUGAGCCUGAAGCCUGUUACUUGUUUUAAUUCUAAGGUAGCCUUUUGGUUAUGUCUCACGCUUCUACUCCCGAUUAAUUCAAUUUUGACUUAUCUGAAAACAAUAUAUCCCUAGCUUAGGUAGCCAGAGUCCAUAUCACCAUUAAAAAUGACUAUUCAAAUGUACUAGAGCAACUUUAUGCUCGGUUGAAGAUAAUUCAGUUCAUAUGCUGGAAUGAGCUUGGCUAAAUCAGUCUAUGCCAAUACUAACACCUCAUGGUUUCAUCAUAUAUGUUAUAUGAUGUCUUAUACGAUUGACAAUAUUGAUGUCUCACUUUUCUCUUGAAUUAUUUACAGGUUGCAGAAGUCCAUGCCCGCUUUGUAUCCGCUAUUGAGAAAUUAUUUGUGAGGUACAGAGAGGUCACAGGACUUAAUAACAUUGAACUGAAAAUUGUUUAAGCAAUCUUCUUUUUGUUGAUUUUCGUUAGGAAUAUUGAAAAGUGAAAAAAAUAAAAAUUCUAGCUGAUGUUACAAAAUCUACUGUUCUUCUGCAUCAAUAUAAUUCAGUUGUACAGUAAGGCUCUAAUCUCCUUUUCUUCUGUUGAUUGCAUUCCUAAGACAUGGAGCGAUGGAAAAGCAGAUUGAACUUUUUAUUGAACUUUUUCAAGUGGUCGCUUCUGAGUACAGCAGCUCCAUUUAUAUAUGGAAGUUUGACAGUAUUCUCUGAUACAAAUUCUUUAGGUUGUUAGUCCCUUACCUUGUCAUAUCGAUUUAAAUCAGCAUUGUUUUUAGGAAGGUCUCCUUUAUAAUUUCUAUUCGAGCUAUUCUUCAAGAGAACCAUUAUUAGCUUGCAGAUAUCUUCCCACUUUUAUAGAAAUACAAUUUUUAAUUCUCAAUACUGAUGCUAUUACACAGACUGCAGUAUCGCGAGGUAUUGAGCUCACAUGAGAAUUUUUUAGGCCAAUCAUAAGCCCUUCUAUAUGUUACUAAAUCAUUUCUGUGGUUACAUCUGUAAGCAUGCUAUUGUUGUCUAUAUAUUUAUAUUGUUUUUAGUUAAGGCCCAAUCAUGGAAAGCACUUAAUUGUAGUUUUAUGGUACUCUCAAGUUUCAACUUGUAAAAUAAGGGUAGUUUAUGGUUUUUAGUAUAUAUCAUCGAUAAAUAUUCUGACAAAUAGAUGUAUGAUAUGUUCAUCGUUUUUGGGCAAGAGAUCGGGUCUGAUUCCAAUCCCACCUUAUGGUAGUAUAAAAUACUUUUGCUCAGAUGUAAUCAUAUGCAAGCUUUAAAUAUUAAAAGCAUCACGUUUCUUUUUUUGGUUAAGAUGUACAAAAUCUUAUUUAUUUAGUUUUAUUAUGGGCAAAAGAAAUAAAAGUUUGCGCUAGAAAUUUACAUUUGAUUUGGAUCUCUAACAUAUAUAAUUUCUAGUUCUAUUAAUUUGCUUAGCCAUAAGAAAAUUCUGUACUUAUUUAAGUUUUUCAAGUUAUAAAAAUCUUUAACAUUUUUUUGCAUAAAUACUAUCUUCUUAAUUUGCACAUUAAUUCCCCAGAUUUUUAUAUUUGCAUACCAACCGCCAAAAUUAUACCUAUUAGACAUAUUAGCCUUUCAAUUUGUUGGUAGAGUUAUAAACACAGUUUUUUCUUUUUCCUUCUAAAUCAAAGCUUUUCCUCUAUUUUCUCCCACCUAUUUCUUAUCUUCCAUAGCUCGAGGGAAUGAUGUAAUAUUUGGUUUGCGCUCCAAGAAAUCGAAAUUUUAAAAUUAUUUGACUAUAUAAAGCUUCAAGAUAUAAGAUAAUGAUGCACAAUGAUUUUUCUUUAUGAUAUCUCAAGUAUAUCUAUAUGUAUUUUGAAAAGGGUAGUUUGUAAAUUUGAAAAUUAUUUACUUGGAUGAAAUUAAAUUUUUUAAUGAAAAUUCAAGUUCAAGUUGGCUCUCUUCAGUUUUUUCUAAAAAAAUUUAGCAAUUUUAUAUUUAAUUUUAAGUUACUAUUUUUUGGAUAUAAAAUAAUAGCUAGCUGUCUGAUUGAACUGCAAACUGACCCAAUCCGGUCUUAAACCUAUGCCUAAACAUUUUGAAUUGGAUCUACAUUAUAUUUGACCCCAACCUGACCUUUCCUUAAUUUCAACCCAACUCAACCCAAGUAGCUAUAGGUUAAGUUCGGGUCUUAAAUCAUGACCCAAAUAUGAAUUAGGUUGAAUCGAGAUUAACUGUGCCAUCAAAGAGUUGUACCUGCAACAACCACAAGCAACCCAAUUGCUACACCGAUUGUCUCCCUUCACUUGUGGAACUAGUUAUGUGAAUUGAACCGACUUAAAAUUUUACCUUUUUUCUUUCCAUGGCAGGAAAUUGAAAAAAUAACCAUGUCAAGGCAGCAAGCAAGUUGACUUGAUCGAGAUAGGCACAACCCAAAUCCAAUCUAUAUUUUAUUGAAAUCCAAAAAUAAAAUGAAACUUAGACCUAAUCUAGUUCCCUUUGAACUUGAUUAGAUUGCAUAUAGUAUUAGUUUUAUCAAUCCGGAGAAUUUUUUUGAGUCAAAUACAUAUCAUUAUUAAAAUACAUAAAAUAAUUACUUAAUUAUAUUAUAAAUAUAAUAAUAACAAUAAAAUAAUAGUAAAUAAUAUAUAUAUAUAACAUACAUAAGAUUCUUUUUACAACUACCUUAGUAUUGUAGACAAUUAUUGAUAGAACAUAUUACUGAAACUCUAUCAUUCUUUAUCGAGCACACUCAACUGAAACUCCUCUCUUUACAAAAAAAGACACGAGAAGCUGGUGCUAUGAGCCGGGGAAAGGAGUGGUUCAGGAAGCAGCACUCUUAGCUAAAAAGGAUAGGAGUUCGGUGUAACCAUUUCCUUCAAACAUUGGCUUCAGAAUCAGCCUCUCCUGCACUCCACAAGCCAAGUGCCAGCAUUAACUUGGUGCAAUCUCAUCAAGCUGGCAAAAAGCCAUAACAACGUAAGAAAGAUGAUCUAAAAGAUGUGAUGCUACUUUCCUAACUUACAAAUGUGGAGAUGCGAACACAAUUUUAACUUCUCACUACAGUCCCAAACUGUCAUUGCAAAUCCACUUACUGAACAGCUUACGCAAGCCAUCGAACACAACAUUUAUCACUUCAAAAUACCCUCCGCUGUGGUUUUAGCUAGAAACCCUGAGUAGGCUUUCCACUCGGGGGUUACUCCAAAGAAGGCUCUUUUUAGCUCAAUGUCUUUGUAAUAAUCCAAUUACAGUUUAAAAUUUUACCAUAGAUCAAACGAGAUGCUACAAUUGGAAGUUCAAAGAUGAUUGUCAUUUCACCAAUCAAAACACAGACGAUUCUCAUGAAAUCCUGCCUAUUUCAAAAUCUACCCUUCAGCUAUGCAUUCAUUACGAUGCACAUACAAGGGACGUUGGAUCGGCAACUAAGUACAUGUUAAGAGAAAAAUAACCAUCCAUCUCUAUGUUUUUUUUUUUGGGUACUUUUGUGCUAUGAAGAUGAUAAAUUCAUACCAUAUUAUUAAAGGAGAGAGGAAUAUACCAUUUUAAAUUUGAUCUAUCUAAAUUUUUAUUAGAAUACCCUUAGCUCCUCAUAUCUGACAAAAAAAAAAAAAAGAUUAAAAUAUUAGAUAUAUAAUCUAUGUGCACCUUAACUUAUUCCUUUGUCUCUAUUUCUUAUAUACGCAAGUCUUUCAGGAUAUCCUAAAUUAGUUAGAUUUUAUUAGUUUAAAACAGAAAUAUCUAUCCAUCUUUAUUCCACAUUCCCAACUAGACUUUUUUAGAAUUUAAAAUAAACAAAAAUAUCCAUACUUUUUAUCUAAUCCAUGGAGUUUAUCUUUCUCAUCUCUCAAAUGUUCCAACUUUUUAUUAACUUAUUUUUAGUGUAGGCCAUGUUCCUCGCCAGUAACAAUCAAAACCAUCAUUAACAACAGAUUUAAACAAAAAAAAAACUAAAGAAGAUUUCUGUUAUAUUUGGAGAUCCACGACAUAAAUUAAUUAAUGCCUUGAGUGCAAGCAUGCUACCAUUGUAGAUUUUCCAAAUAUACUCAAUGGCGAGAUUUAGUGCCGAAAGAAUGAAAAGUUUAUUAGAUGUAUAUACAAGCAACAAAGUCAUUUUGAUCACUCGUCACACUAGAACUUAUUUGAAAAAUGAAUAUGGACGAAACCUCAAUCACAUUAUGAAAACGUAAAAAAGUUGAUAAAAGAUACCAAAGCAUCGUACACAUCAAAAUACACAUGAAAAAACAAUCAUCCUCUCGCAAAGUACAGAUGGAUAAAACGUGACUACAUACAACAAUAUUUAAGCGAGGAAAAAGAGACCAAAGUAUCAAGCUAAUCAAAACAAGCCAUCCUCUCGCCAUAGUCCAAGCAUUUGAUUGUCAGACACAGCAUUGAGCCAUUCAUCGGCUUAUUUAAAAAAAUCAGUGCAAAUAAGAUUUUUUUCUCCAAAAAGUUCAAAUUUCUUGACUCAGCGAAAUGUCACACAUCAUCCUGCAUAAUCCGUGAAUACUUCAUACUACAAAAACUGAUCUAAAAUUCUGAAAUCCUUCUUAUGAAUGUCCUGUAUGAACUUCCUGAGCUUCUGGAGACAUUUUAGAACAGCUGGUCAUGUGGUCUUAUUCUGGUUCGUAUUUAUAACAUUCUUGAAAACCACAAAUAUAAUAAUAUCAAUGUCUUUCAUUUCAUAUCAGGCUAUGAUCCAUACAUGCCAGCCUUUAUGCCCAUAGCAUUAUUACGGUGAAAUGCAUAGCAGAUCCAUUAUUUAUAAUAUCACUACUAUGCUACCCUAAUUCUGGUCACAAUGCUAGUUUUAACACGCAUUCUCUCUCUCAGCUUUGUAAGCUUAGUUUUUAGAGGCUUCACUUCUUGACGUACACUCUCCUCUUCAGGCAAAAAGCCUUCAAGAUCCCUUCAGUUAAUUAUAGAAAGAGAAAGAUUAACAUACAUUAAUCAAAAGCAAGAAUAUGCUUAUCACCUUUGAUAGAUGAGAAGUCUAGUGGUAAAAGAAAUCUUGAUGCAAUGAGUAACUAACGAGCCAUCAUAUACUCACCUAUUGAUUUGUCACAUACAUUGCCCAUGUCAUGCAUUACUUUUCUAUAAAACAAAAAUGAUUGUGUUUAUAAUUGUAUUCAUCAAAUGAAACAAUCCAUCACAGCCAACUUGAGUAAUUGAUGUGUCAUUACACCCGAGGCUAAUAAUUUGUUAGCAUAUGUCUCUAAAAUUGAUUAAAAAUUAAUAUGCUUUUGAACUUACAUACAUGCAAUAACAAGUUAUAAAAAUAACGCAAUGCCCAUUUCCACAUAAGCACGUACCUUUUCCCCUACUGAUCUGUCCAGCCCUCUCUUAAGAAGACUUGCCAUCCCCAAUUAUCUUUAGUCCUUCUUUAUUACUCACUACUACGAUAAGCUUCCAAUGAUACGUAGCUCUGCAAAGAUAUUGUAGCACUCGCUGCUACAAUCACUUAGCAACAAUACAUUGUAUUAUGAGCAUUAUUUUGGUGUUCUCAUUUCAAAAUUCUUUUAUGAUACAACUGCCUCUUGCCCCAGUAUAUCAUAGUGAAAACUAGGUUUAUUUUCAAAUCACAUUGCCUAUUGUUUUUUGUAAAAAAAAAAACCACAAUAUCUACAGUCUUGAAGACAAUAUUUUGCUAAAAUUUUAACCAGUGAAGGAAAACAAAAAAAAAACUAAAGGAAUAAAUGCAUAAUUAUAAGAAAUAUUGACACUAAUUAACAUCUAUAACCUCAUUUGAAAUCUUAAUACCAUUUUUUUUAAUAUAAAAGAAAAUGAACCUUCUCUUGUUGCACUUGUAGAUAGGAAGCUGGGAGGGUAAGGUUUUUGGUUCAGAUCAGACCAGUUAGUCCUCAAGAAAGACACCCAACAAAACAUGUUUAUCAUUAAAUCAAGCAGAAAUGAGCAACAUAGAUGAGAGACGAAGCAAAAGAAUGACUAACCUUUGGUGGAAGUUUGGCGCAUGACAAGGGGAGAUGAUUGUUGGAGAAAGGUACAUUGGACUUGAAUUUGAAACAAAGAGCAAUGGAAAAUAGGAGCGACAGGGCCUCCCUUGAGUCAUGAAUAUUGUCAGUCGGUACAAUCUAAUUUAUUCUGAAUGUGUAGUCUUGGCCCAAUCCACACCAAUAGGACCACAGACCAAUGUCAAAGAAUAGGUCAACUAUUAUGUUUCUGCAGCGAUGCACUUUCCAUGAACUUUUCCGCCAAUUGCUGACAGCAAAUAUUAGGGUUACUAAAGAGAUAAUCAUGCAAUUUAGGAAGUCACCCCAAAAUGUUCUAGGAGACAAAUAAAGAACCUUUUUUGCUCUUAUGCCAGCAGAUAUAUUAACUGAUGACACAUAUUUACCUUUCCCACUGAUGGUGAGAUUUUCCUUGCUAGUACUUACUUUCUCUAUGGAUGCCAACCAUGUCUUCUCCAUUUUACCUUUUCUAUAUGUUCUUCUGACCAGCCAAAGACAUCCCAAAGACAUCACCAAGAGAAGAAAAGUAGCUGACUGUGAAAAUUGAGCUACCUUACUUGAGAAAGAUGAAAGGACCAGAAAAAAUGCGUAUUGCUAAGGCUAGAGAACCCACCUAUGCAUCUAGCCAGCUGUUUAAUAACAUUUGUUUGAUAUCUCUUACAUACAUAAUAAGUGACAUCAUACUUCAUUUGUUUGCUAUCUCUUACAUACAAAAUAAGUACAAACAUCCAAUACAUACAAAUUUCUACCCUUGACACACACAAAAUAAAACAACUCUCCCAGGCCAUGACUGACCAUGGAAAGUAUAAAGUUCGACACAAAAGUCUCAAGCAUCAUCCAAACUUCAUUUUCCCAAUGAACAUCAUUCACAUCUCAUUUUCCCAAUAAUGUUGUCAAGAAAAUUUUAAUAUAUAUAGUCACAAAGCAUGCCAAAUACUGAUAAACCUCAUCAGCCUAAGGAACAAUGAAAAUACACAUUAGAGCUGCCUCUAUCUUCAGAAUGGCAUGCACUUGUCACUAGCACCUCUAUUCUACAUAACCAACACCCAUGCCAAAAGUUGAUGAAAACUAUCAAAUUAAGAUGCAAGAAGAACAUCCAUUAGGNNNNNNNNNNUCUCUCUCUCUCUCUCUCUCUCUCUCUCUCUCUAUAUAUAUAUAUAUAUAUAUAUAUAUAUAUAGAAUGGGAUUCAUUUGUGACAACAUUACAAGGCCUUCCAUUUUUAAAGAUUUCACCCUCCAGAAGUUUUGCAGCAAUCAUACUUUGAAAGUAAUCACACAAAGUCCAUGCACAAGUUAAAGCUAUGAAGCACUACACGCUAAAAUUUACUGCAAAUUUUAUCAAUAAAUAACUUUUUUCCCUUCAUAAAUGUAUUUGUGCAUUUCUUAAAUUAUAACAUCCCUGUGCAACAAAACAGAAAGGGUCUCACAGGUCCAACACAAUUAUUAACCCAAACAAAAGGAAAUCUAGCUAUGACCAAACAUAAUCAAGCUCUUGAAAAAAAGUGUUAAAAACAAAACAAAACUAAUUUUGAGCCAAUCACCCAACAACUAGAAGCUACACUGAGCAACAUUCAAAACUUCUGGAGCGAAAAAGCAUAUAUAAUAUAAAAGAAGACCCAACUCAAACCUUCAUCGAUGAACUAAGGAUUAACCGGUAUGGAUGCGGUCAGACAAAUCACUCCAUCAUGCUACCAGCAUUAUCAUUUUCCUCCUCUUGAUCACACAGAUCAAGAUCAGCAAGCAGCUCCUCCAAGGGCACGGAAGGAACAUCAUCCCCGCCAGCCGUUGAAGCCAUCUCUGAUGGCUGAUAAUCUUUGUUGCGGUACAACGAGAUAUUAAAUCUCAGCUCAGGGUUCUCCUCCAAGUCCCUUAAGAACUCCUCAUACUCGGCAUUCUUCUUCUCUUCGUCAGCUCUGCUCUUGGAGGUAUUGUCCACGUCCGUGUCCAACCUCUUCAGUUUCCAAGGUCGAGGCUUUCCACUUCUGCUGCGGCGCUUCUCCUCGUAGCUCUUCUUUAUCAGAACCGCAUCUGGCAGGAUGAGGCCUUUAUACCUGUCAAUCUCGAGAUCGUUGCUAUUGGCCCCAUAGAGGUCAUAACCUAGGGCAUAAUCGCCGGGAUUCAAGAGGUGGCCGAGAUGGGUUCGGAUUGUGAAGAUGUUGUCGUUCUUUCCGAAAUCAGACACCCGGGCCACCUGGGCAUAAGCCAGGGAGUACCUCGAUCCCCCGACGGUGACCUCCGAGGACUCCACCUCGACGUCGAGCACGAUGUACUCCACAAGCUGGCGGCUGGAGAGCAGGGCCCUGAAGGGGGCCCUCCAGUACUGGCUGGCAUCGAGAAAGGCAGAGCGGAGGGUGAAGGGGUCGAGAAGGGCAACGGAGUUGGAGAUCUUGGUGCAAAUGACGAGGGGGCCGAGGUUGCCGAGGGCCUGGGCGGCCUUGGGAGGGAGACAGAUGAGGUCCUCGCGGCAGAUGGGGCAGAUCUCGACGGAGAAGGUGUGCUUGUAGUUGUAGAUGUUGCUCUUGAGGUCGUGGGAAACGAGCUGCUUGUCGGAGCGGGAGCGGACGGGGACAACGCCGGAGAUGAACUCGACGAACUUGACGGCGUGGGAGCGGCUGCCAAAGAAGAAGUCCAGGCCACGGUCGGCCUCGGCGAUGCGGAGGGCGCGGACGGCGGCGCCGUGGCGGAGGAUGAGCUGCUCGAGGAAGAAGAAGGUGCGGCGGUGGGCGACAUGCUGGCGGAGCUGGACAGCGGCGGACCACUGGUCGGGGUUGGCCUGGGCGCGGGAGCAGGCAAGGCAGAGCUGGUCGUGGAUGGUGAGCUCGACGAGGUGGGACUGCUCGAGGAUGGCGCCGUGGAGGGCCUCGCGCUGGACGCGGAGCUUGAGGCGGAGGCGCUUGGAGUGGGGCUCGGUCCAGACGAACUCGGCGUGGACGACGCGGACGAGACGGGUAAGGGGCUUGAGGCGGCGGAGGCAGAAUGCGAGGAGCUCCUUGGACUCGAGAUCGGCGCGGACCCAGGUGCGCGGGGGGUGGAGGUAGCUUCGGCACUCGGGGCAGUGGACGACGGCGGCGUGGCGGGGCAGGCCCUCGGUGAUGUCGACGCGGGAGCGGAGGCAGCGCAAGCACAUGUUGGCCGGGUUGGGGGCCAUCGCCACGCCGCAGAUGCAGCACAGCACCGUCCCCACCGUCUGCGCCGGCACGAACAUCCCCGACGCCCCCAGCUCCAUCGAUGACGGCGUCGUCUUCUCUCCUCCUCUCCUGCUAGGGUUAGGGUUAGGGUUAGGAGGACCUGAUGGAGAUCGAAUGGGUGGUCAGAUAGAUCAGGGCCGGAGGAGAAGGAAAAAAAGGGUUCUCGGGGUUUAUAAAGUCUUAAGGGGUUCGGGUUCGGGUUCGGGCUUUCGAGAAAAGACCGGACCGGCUGAGCGAAGCCAAUAAACGAAGGUGGCUCUUAGCCAGGAAUUUGCAAUUAUAGUAUUUUUGGCCCCUUUUUUUUCCGUUCCUCCUCCUCCUCUUCUACUACUUCUUCUUCUUCUUUUUAUCAAAACGGCAUUUCAAUUUCAAUAAAUCAAGUUUGAGUACAUCCUGCCAAAUCAAAAAAAAGUAAACAAUGCAACAGAUGGGAAACACCCCCUAAACUCGUCCAGAUGAUGUCCCCAGAGUGACGUGCCAUGUAUGAGGCUACCUAGUCCGCAGCUUUGUUCACCUCACGAAACACAUGACCAAUCUGAACAGCGAAUAUCUCCUGAACCAAUCUGCAAAUCUCCCGAAUCAAUGGAUGACCGUCGCCAUACCUAUCCCCUCCCCAUAUCCAGCCAAUUACCGUGGCAGAGUCUCCCUCAAUACACAAUCUGUCGACACCCAGCACACAUCUCGCAUAUCGGAUGCCCUCCUAAGCAGCCCGUAGCUUCGCCCCAAUAACAGUCAAACCAGGUGUGCUCCGACCACCAGCUGCAAUCAAUCUGCCAUAAUGGUCCCUAACAACAAAGCCUACUCCACCAGAAGCUCUAUCCAUCGCCAUACCGUCAUCAAAAUUCACCUUAAGAUAACCAGGGGGUAGGGGUACCCAAGAAAGAUAAGCAUACCUAGGCGCUGCAAUAGCAGAAAAGGUAACCCAGAUAUCCCUAGCCAACUCAGAUGAAGUCGAUAGAGUCACAGAAAAGACCUCCACUGCCUGGGUCACGGCUCCGUUCACCACAAUCCUCGGGAGCGACCCUCUCCCCUCGAACAAGCGUCCAUUCCUAUCCAGCCAUAUAUGAUAAGCUAGACAUGCAACUACUACCCCCAGCUCAGUUGUGCUAGGCCUCCUAGAAGAGUUCCUCAAGAACUAUAAUAAAUCCUCCACUGACUCCCAUCUCAGGGGUAAUGGCGCAGACAGACGGCUCCAAAUCUAUACUGCCCUCGAACAAAGGAGUAAGACAUGACAUAUAGACUCCUCGAGAUCCGGGCAUACCUUGCAAAACUAGGUCAUCCUCACCCCAUGUCUAACCAACAUGCUCUUGGUCGGGAGGCAACCUCAGACUAUCUUCCAAAGGAAGAGCGCCACACGAGGAUGCAACCUCAACCUCCAUAUCUAACCCGCAUCGAUCUGUCUGUCUGGCACCCUGCUAAUCCAAGAAUGAAGAUCUUUGGCACGGACUCUCGACCUACCCGUCGGCUCCCAAAUCAAUCUGUCUGGCUCCUCCCGUGACGGUACCGGUAACGCCAUAACCUCGCCGCUAACUGCUCUCCAAACAUCUACCGUACCAGUCCCUCACGCCACUGUCCCUCUCUUGGGACAAUCAGAUCACAAACCCUGAGUCCCUGUAGCCUGUCCGUAUCCGCCAUCAUCGGCACACGACUGAUAGGAAGCUCCAUCACCCAACUAUCCUCAGAGCAUCAAUGGAACGACCAUCGCCUACCGCCCAUCUGAUCGUCGGCAGCACCAAAGGAGCUCUGGCGCAGAUCUCCCUCCAUAUGGGUGAAUGAUGACGACGUGUGCGGGUACCAAUCAGUAGGCUCCCAUACUUGGCCCUCAUCAAAGAGGACCACAUAUUAUCAGGCUCCAGCAGUACUCUGGCUGCAUGUCGCAUCGCCAAUGCCUCCCGUCUCACCAUCAAUAAAGUCACCCCCAAACCGCCCUGCCUGAUCGGCUUACAUACCACCUCCCAAGCCAUCAAAUAAAUACCACCUCUAUGACAAUGCCUCCCCCAUAUGAAAUCCCUAAUAAGCCUUUCAAAUGAUCUCAACAAAGCCACUGGGAGAAUAGAGUUAGACAGAAGGUAUACCAAAAUGGAACUCAAAACUGACUGUGCCAGAGUGACCCUGCCCAUUGUAGAGAGGGAAUGCAUCUGCCACCCCUCCAACAUGUGUCUAAAGCUUGUCACUAGUGAGAGACAAUCCCACUGAUGGCAUACCACCUCCCAAGCCAUCAAAUGAAUAGUUGAAUACCACCUCUAUCACCAUUCCUCCUCCUCUUCAAUGGCCAUGGUGACCUCGUCCGCUACGCUAUCUCUCGUCGGUGAGUUUCUCAUUCUCUUUUCCUUGUUUGUUGAAGUCUAAAAGGUUCUUCCGAUUUUGUAUUGUUCGAUCGGUUCCUAAGGUGGCUUCGUCGCUUCGAUGCUUCAUUCCUUUUGUAUUUUCUUGGAGUUCUCUCUCCACCAACCAAUCGAAUUAGAAAGAUCCGGUUUUUAGAAACUUUGUUGACCGAAAUCCUGUAGAAGAUCAUCGGCAAAAUUACCCGAUGGCAAAAAAAAAUGUCGGACUAUUGCAUUCUCGCGUAGAAUCUCCGGAUGUCUUCUUGAUUCGGCCGUCUUGCCCGAUAGUGUGGGAGCUAUAAAGCCAUUUUCCAUGUUCUUCAAGCUGUCUCGCCUUAGCUUGUGGAAGUUUCACCCCGAAACUCCUUUCCACCAAGUUGUUCUUUCAAUCUUCAAGCCUCCCUCGUGCCCAAGAAAUUACAGAAGCAAAACAAAGUGUUAUACGUCUUGAAUUUUUCAUAUUUUUGAGUGUUUGAAUGGUUGAAUUGAGUCAAAACUUUGUUUCCUUGGCAUGCCUCUGGCGAGCUGAAACAAUAAUCUUGGGGGCCAACAUGACGUGCACCACCACCACCAUGUAGAUCAAUCCUAUCGAUGUACCCUAAUUAGAUCCCUUUUAUUAGGGAUUGAUUGUUUAUUUUCCUGCAAAAUUUCCCCCUUGAAUGGCCUGAUCUUGCCAUGGACCGCCAGGAUUUCUUUCUAUUUUUUUGACAUUAACGUAUCAAGAGAUUGCCUUCUUACGACAUGUAUAAUGAACCCAGAAUAUCAACCUAUACAAUUACCAUACAAAUAUCUAUAUUAUAGAGAAAGUCUUCCAAGUUGUAGGUAGCCAGAAUUUGAAACUUAAUUAGUCGAGUCUAAAGAUUGGAAGGUGCGAUCUUUUAAAGUCAUUUGAGAUAAGUAGAAAAUUAUUCCCAUUUUCAUUCAAAAUUUCAAAUAUCGCAAGUACAUGUUGUGCAUUUCACCUCCCACAUCCACAAAUUCAGGACUUGGGACUCAUCAGAAAAUUUAUGUUUCAGAAGUACCGAGGGAAAGCUGAGAGCAUCGAAACGUUAUACAGAAUUAGGAAGACUAAACUAAAAGCUAAGUAACGUCGAAAUAUUUAGAUGAGAGACUAUAUGUUGGGGAAGUUGAUCUCAGAAAGCUCUAGGUUCUUUCAAGUUACACAAGAAACAACGUAUUCAGGAACUGUUUAAAAAAAUUCCUAACGGCAACAGCUACCAGGAUAAUAGGAAUUCGAGCUUUAUCCUUCUGUUUCUUUUUGAUGAUCUAUUAUCUGUUUUGUUGUUAUAAAGCAUUUAUCUUAUUUCCUCUUCUUCAUUAUCCUUUCUUGGGGGUUUUAGGUGGAUCUCAUUUUGGAAAGUGAUACUAACUCCUGUAGGCCUUGGCUUAGCACUUCUUCAGCUAAAAUCAACAGGCUAGGUUUGGAACCCUUGUCGUAGCCCUCGAGAAGUUGGAAAGUACUCAUGUGGCACACCAUCCACAAGCACUCCAAAGUUUUCAUUACAUAAACAUCCAUGAAUCAAAUUCCACCAUUUAUCACAAAAGCCAAAAAUCACACACACGCAUUACCCCCAACAAGCCCAUUCGAUCCAAAAAGAUGCUUUUGCCAUAUCCUGAGUUUCUUUUGACCCCCCCUCCCUCCUACUAUUAAGCUUUAGGGUCAGCCCUCUUCUUUCGACAUAACCAUAGUCAAAAGAGUGUUUUUUCUUGUAUUUAAGGUUUUGCAUUCCAACAAACUGAAGAAAUUAGUAGGCCAUCAAAUUCAGUUGGAAAUUGGCCAGAAAAAGCGAGUAAAUCAUCAUCGAUGCUUCUCUAUCUGUGCUGCAUACAGGUACAACAAUUUUUCUACUGAUAUAUUACCUUAUGAAGUGACAGAAUCUUAUCUAGUAGUAGUAGUUAGGUGCAUGAUGCUAUCCUUGUCUCACAUAAUUGAAUUCAAGGUAUUAUUUAGAGGAAAGUACCAUUGAUGUUGGUUUAGUUUUAUGAGUUUGGAUCCUCUUUCUGAAAUAGGUUUAACAUAUUCACAGUGAUAUCAAUGUUGCACUCAGCCACUGUCCCUUGCGGGCAUUUCUCUUAUGUUGCUAUGCAGCAUGCCAUGCCCUUUCACCAGUUUAUGACGACCCCCAGCAUUCAUUUGAGUGAUGAUUUGACAUAUUUAACAAAUAAGAACAUCUAUACGUUGCAUGUCAGUGACAUGUGAGAACUGUUGAAGAAUAGGAUGGCAUUUUGAUAAAGCAGAAGACUCGUCAAACGCUGAAUGAUAAGAUAAGCCAGCUGAAUUCUGCAAUCGACAAUGUUUCUUCACGUUUGGUGUGAACAACGUGGCAACAGAACCUGCUGAAGCUGAAUCAGUAGAAGCAACAAUGUAGAAUCUGCAGUUUGGUUCAUGAAGUCAACUUUUAUAUUGUCUCCAUUCAUUAUGGCUAUUUCUAUCCUCUGUUGACAAUAUAAAUAUGCACUCAACAUGUUGCAUGCCUUGGAUUUAUAAAUUCUGCACCUGUUUUAAAACCAUGACAUUGUUCCACUAUAAGCCUGUUUUCUCCAUCUUGUGACCCCCUGAUGGAUUCCAAUAUAUACACACAUGUAUGUACAUACAUAUGCAUAUGAGGAAAUCAGAUGCCUAAUUCGUCCAAAGAAAGGCAUUUCCUUUCUUGCAGAUUAAAUUUUGGGUACCAAUUGAAAUAUCUUAAUUAAAGGUCUUGAUUGUUAUAUAUUACAAUAAAAUUAUCUUAUUGAAAGAAACAAAAAAAUGAACACCAAACCGGAAAUAGUAGCUUAAGACCCACCAUCUAAAGUUCCUGCUUGUUCCAUAUGGCUCAAAAACUUUCUAAUAUAAAGUACCCCUCCCCACAAAGAAACCACCGCCAGAAGGGGAAGGCCAGCUCUUGCAGCUAGUAAGUUAGAAGCCAAACAAAAUUAAGCAGAGCAUGCAUUAUUUUGCGCUAAGUGCAGGCAUCGCUGGAUCAACCAGACUGAUAUGAGAAUUGGGCUCUCUGUGGCCAGAAACCUGCGGCCACAGCAUGCAUCGCUCUUGUAGCUCAAGCAUGCAGUUGCCAUGCAAGCUAGUGCUACAAGGUCUGGAUGCCUCACGGAAAAAUUUUAGCUCAUGAACUGCUCAGUGUCUAACAGACGUUCCGUCAUAUCUAACAUGAUCAAUGAGAGUCAUGGAAGCUAAUUUCUAGACAAAACCAAAGGAAAUCUGAAAACAUACAUGUAAACAGAGCCCAAGAUUAAAUGUAUCAGAUAUCAUCUCGUAGAGGCGUCAUAUUUUUCUCAUCUUCAUGCAUAUCUUUUUCUCCUCUAAGCAAUUGUAGGUAGUGCCAGAAAAAUUUAAGUAGAUGCUGCAACAAACAAUAGCAAACCACAAAUAGUUUAGCAUGUCAGUUGCCUCAGAUUGCAGAUGCAUCUUUAGGCCAUCAAGCAUUCUCUAUGAGCAUAUCAUCUGAUGUAGUCCAAACAUUUGCCUAGCUCCUCAAGCAACUCCCAGCCCGAUACAAACUGUAACCUAAGAAAAUGAUACUAAUAGAAGCAGGGCGCAUUGACGUAACAAAAGGAAUACCAGCGCAUGGCAUGCGCGAGGAAUAGACUAUUAGCAUUGGGAGCUGAACACACUUCAGCAUACCACAACAGCAGCACGCACCUUAUCCCUGUAACAAGCUGGACACUUAAGGUGUGCGUCAUCAUUAGCAUCUCACUAGUAAUCAAAUUUAGACCACCGCUAACCACCUGAAAUAUUCAUACUUUGGAUAAGCAUGAAUCAACAAACGAAACAUAUAAUUAUGAGGACUUGCAGUAACAUAUCCAUGGAGUUUCUGCAUAAUUUUAACAUUGUGGCUUUCCUUCUCUUAUAUACAAACAGCCGUAAAUCUGCACUCUAGAAGCAAGGACUAGGGAAAGAAAGAAGCGAAAAGAAAAGUAAAGAAAAAAGUUGAAAAAAGGAAAAACAUUUGUAUGGUUAUGAACAUAUGGGCAAGAGCUCUGGUGAUGCCCCUUGUGAGGCUCUAGGUAUACUGAGGUGGUCAUUUACAAGGCAUAUACGCUCCCAAUUGGAUUCAAGUGUCAGUAAACCUGCCAAAUAGAAGCAAAGAAGUAUUAACGCGAGGCCUCUCCGGCAAAAGCUGCUCCGUUCUUAAAAUGGGUUUGUCUUUUUGUUUCUUCUCUGUGCCAGGAAAGGCAAGGGAUAGAGAGAGUGAUGCUGACAUAUCAUCUUCACCAUCCAUUGCAGGACCAGGGAGUUUUUCUUGGCUGCUUUUUCUGUCAGCCAAAGGGAAAAGCAAUGACAAGACUUCCUUUUCGGAUGAUUUCUUCUUGCCCCCAAGUGCUAGUUCAAGAUCUGGACUACUGGACUCUGGCACGUCUUCGUCAUCUGAAGAAAGAACAUGUAUGAAGUUCUCUGAUACAACAUUUCUGACAGGACCCGAAUCCGCUGGAAAGAAAAACUUUUCAGCGCACCUUGGGUUCUCAGUCAUCCCUGUUCCACUGCAGAAACCAUGAAUGUUUUGCUGCUCAUCAACAUAGCUAGAUAGCAAAGUAUGUAUCUGAGAUGAUAAAUUAUUAGUUGUAUUUUCAUCCCUAGAACUACUAUUAGCAUGUAUCUCGCUGCGACUCCUCAUCUUCUUGUAUUCUUUUUCAUCUUCAAGAGAAAUGAAGUUUGCUCUCUCACUCCAAAGCAUUAUUUCAUCAGUGCUCUUUGAGGGUUCACCAGAAGCACGCGUAACCGUCUGCAUGGAAGAUGAGUGUGCACGUUUCCGGCUAGGCCUUGACUCCCAGCCGAGGUGGUCGAUCUCCAUCAGAUGUUCCUGCAGCUCAUUAUCUAUACAAGCUUCAAGUUUGAUUGAUCCUUCUUUCUCCCUCAUCUUUUCACCAUUUCCUCUGCCUUCACCAUCUGUUCAUUGAGCAAGCAAAAAGAAAUUGAGCAGAAAUAUCCUGAACAAAUAAUGUAAACAUCAUUGGAAGAAAAAUCACCUUGUCCAAAAUAUGAAGAUAUUGCUUGUGAAGGCAAUGCACUGUUCAUAUUUUCUAUGCUAGUUGCAUGAAUGUGGACUGGGGUUCUGCCAUCAAUAUCACUACCAGAUUUCUCCUGCAUGCAAAUGGGUAAAGCUAUGAGGAUCUCAUGCCACAAAAGCAACUGCAAUCUAAACAUAAUGAAGGUAUAAAUUGACCGCAAAUUAACUCAUGAGAUAAUUCAAAUGUGAAUAAAUACUAGAGAUUAACACCACUUAUGAUCAGAAGAAAGUGCACGAAGCUCCUACCACUAUAAGGUCAAGGAAAGGUCAGAUGUACAUAGCUUUACCCAUGCAUGCGGUGAGGCUGUUUUCGUGCUUCAAACCCAUGAAAUCCAGGUCGCAUUGGAGCAACCUUACCUUUAUGCUAAGGCCCGCCUCAUGAUUAGAACCAACAAAUAUUUAACUAUCGUAGUCAAGUCAAAUGUUGAUUAACCGCACCCCCCCCCCCAAAAAAAAAAACACCACCACCCAAAAUAAAAAAAAGUAUCAACAUCUUUCAAUUAAAAUAUCCACAAACACCAGGUUGUUAAAAGUGAGAAGUGGUCAUAGGUGAAUUAAAUUUGGAAAAGCUAGAAUCCAACUGUCCUUGUUGAACCAAUGUUAUAUACUAGAUGAGCAUUAAAAUAUUUUGUGACAUGGCACAGGGGCGUGCAAAUUAACAAAUGACAUGAGCCUCUGAUCAGAAACCACACUCAAAUGCCAUUCCACAUUCACACAUAAACUGGCGAAUGUUCAGGGCUCAUUGGGAAAAGCAUCAUCAAACAUCUGUAACAAUGUCAAUCAGAUCUCCUAAUGCCAAACUGCAGAAUGGAUUUGAAGUGGACAUUUUGAAAACAGAAUGACAACUGCAUGAUAUUUGGACUCAGCAGCAUCUAUAAAUGUAUUGCAUGAUUCCUUUUCUUUUGAUAAAAAGUAUUUUAAAUAUAACUCAAAGAUAUGCACAAAUAUAAACACAAAAACAUACCCAUAUCCACCCAUCAAGUGUCCUUACACUCAGUUUCGGUAACAUUUGGCCAAAACUAACUGAUUUCAUCCAAUUUUAGCUAUAAUGACUGAAAUGAGCUAGUUCUCCAUUUCUUUAAACAAAUAGUCUAGAUUGUAUCAAUUUUUGAGUCGUCCCUCUUUCUUCAAUAAAAGAGAAGACUAACUCAUGGAUGAGAAACAUUACCUCUAACAAGUAUUUUCACAAGUCUUAACAUGCAACUUUUAAUUGGAGAAGUUAAAGUAAAAGGAAGUUUUCCUAAAGAUGACUUUUUAGGUUUUUUUUUUUUUGAUAGAAGACAUUUUAACCCUCUGUUAGGUUAUUUACAUGACAAAAGGGUCUCUAUGUAUUAUGUACGAGAUAAGUUCCCUAAAUACUGGAUUUGCAAGAUUUAAGUUCAGAUUAGCUAGAUAUUACCUUGAAUAAUAUAGGCAUUUAGGUGAAAUAUAUCUAAUUGUGGUCUUUCUAAAAUUUUUGAUUUUUUGUAAAGUAAAAGUUAGAUGUUGGAACUUGAUAUGAUGGUAACCAUACUAUUAUAGGUAUUCGCAUUGUUAGGUGUUUCAACAUGAUUGUUGAAAAAUUUUCGAAUGUUAUUUAGUUAUUCAUAAUUUUUUGGUUAGUUAACAAUUGAAUUUAAAAAUGUUUCAUGCAUUUACGCUUUCAGUCUAAAAACAAAAAAAAACGCUCUAGUGCACAAGAUUUCCGCCAUUACAGAGUUUGGAGAGCGUUAGAUGUAUGCAGCCUUACCCCAUCGUGUAGAGAGGCUAUUUCCAUGUUUCAAACCGAUGACACCUAGAUCACAAUGUAGAAACCUUAUUAUCGCCUCAAGGCCCACCCUCUAUUUAGCCUAAAAAUAAUAAAACCAUAAAUCCACAAUUCAAGAUCCGUCGAACUGGCAUCGGAGGACGUACUAACUGGCAAUUGGUUCGGUAUGGUAUGGAUCCAUACCUUACCAUUCUGAGAUGUACC